GUCGAGGGGCAGCAUCAUCAAAGCUUGCUUUGAUGGAUGGCGACCGGCGCACGGGUGAGUAACACGUAUCCAACCUGCCGACAACACUGGGAUAGCCUUUCGAAAGAAAGAUUAAUACCGGAUGGCAUAAUUAUUCCGCAUGGGAUAAUUAUUGAAGAAUUUCGGUUGUCGAUGGGGAUGCGUUCCAUUAGGCAGUUGGCGGGGUAACGGCCCACCAAACCUACGAUGGAUAGGGGUUCUGAGAGGAAGGUCCCCCACAUUGGAACUGAGACACGGUCCAAACUCCUACGGGAGGCAGCAGUGAGGAAUAUUGGUCAAUGGACGAGAGUCUGAACCAGCCAAGUAGCGUGAAGGAUGACUGCCCUAUGGGUUGUAAACUUCUUUUAUACGGGAAUAAAGUGAGCCACGUGUGGCUUUUUGUAUGUACCGUAUGAAUAAGGAUCGGCUAACUCCGUGCCAGCAGCCGCGGUAAUACGGAGGAUUCGAGCGUUAUCCGGAUUUAUUGGGUUUAAAGGGAGCGUAGGCGGGUUGUUAAGUCAGUUGUGAAAGUUUGCGGCUCAACCGUAAAAUUGCAGUUGAUACUGGCGACCUUGAGUGCAACAGAGGUAGGCGGAAUUCGUGGUGUAGCGGUGAAAUGCUUAGAUAUCACGAAGAACUCCGAUUGCGAAGGCAGCUUACUGGAUUGUAACUGACGCUGAUGCUCGAAAGUGUGGGUAUCAAACAGGAUUAGAUACCCUGGUAGUCCACACAGUAAACGAUGAAUACUCGCUGUUGGCGAUAUACAGUCAGCGGCC
rnacentral:rRNA from 1 species